rfam:Heterocephalus glaber contig86864, whole genome shotgun sequence.
GGGGAUGUAGCUCAGUGGCAGAGUGCUUACCUAGCAUGCAUGAGGCUCUGGGUUCCAUCCCUAGCGUUGCCA